AUCUCAGAUAUUUUCAUCUUCCCAAUCCUAUCUACCAUUAGAUGAAGAUUAGUCUCUCUCUCUCUCUCUCUCUCUCUCUCAAAUUUGUCCCUCAACUUAAAGGGUCAUUGUUAAUGAAGUGAGCAAGUGUUAGCUAGAAAGAAACCCUAGUGAGUGAGUGAUGGAUUUGAAGAAUUCAAAUGAGUUCUCAGGAGAAGAAGAAGCAUCUUCAACCCCACAAGGAGGACAAAUGCACAACUUCAUGUCCAUGCCUUCUUACUCUUUACCUCGCAACCUUCCUCCCCAUCAAGUAUUUCUUCAGCCGAACUUCAUUUGCAGGAUUAGUUGGGGCUACGGUGGUGACAUGGAGUAACCAUAGUUUUUUGGGCAUAUCUCUUGGACUUCUUUUGUUUUCUUGAGCUUAGGGUUGAUAUUAGUUUAUGUAUUUAUUAAUUUUUUUUAUGACUUUAGUAUUAGGAUAAUUUGGCACGGUUUUUAACCGUACAUUAUUUAAGUUAUUUUGACUAUUUAUUGUUACUUUAAUGUUAGAAGUAUUGAAUAGUUAUGAGAUUAUGGUGGAUGGUUUGGUUGGCAUUUAGUUUUUUUGUUUCACCCAUAGGAUUUGAAUAAUGGAAUAUUGAUUGGGGUUCAGUCCUAAUUUAAUAUUUAAUUGUCUAAAUUUUGGGGCGUGACAUUAGCUCUAAUCCAUUCUGAUGUACGGGGACCACUUGCUGCUUUCAUUUCCAAUUAUAAAUACUAUGUGCUUUUCAGUGAUAGCAAAUUCACAUUGUUAUUUUCUCUGUCUUGCAAGAGUGAAAGUUUUCUCCGAGUUUGUUGAGUUUAAGGCUUUUGUGGAAACACAAUUUUACACCAAACUUAAAAUUCUAAGAAGUGAUAAUGGAGGAGAAUAUUUGGCUACUCAAUUUCAAAAUUUUCUUAAAACUAAGGGUAUUGCUUAUCAGCUCACUUGUCCCCAUACUCCUGCUCAAAAUGGAGUGGUUGAGAGAAAGCAUAGACACUUAAUUGCGACCAUUAUCACUUUCAUGCAUCAGUCUUCUCUUCCCCUCAAAUUUUGGGUUGAUGCUCUUGCUGCUUCUAUGUUUCUCAUUAAUAGGCAUCCUACUUCUAAGCUUGACAAUCUCACUCCUUUUAAAGUAUUGUUUAAACAUUCUCCUGAUUAUAAUUUUUUGAAAGUGUUUGGCUAUAGCGGCUACCCUUGGCUUCAACCCUAUACCAACUUCAACAAAGAUCCAUUCCUUGUGUUUUUCUUGGCUAUCAGCUCUCCACAAAGGGCUAUAGGUGUCUUGAUGUGUCCAAUGGUAAAAUUUAUGUUUCAAGACAUGUUCUUUUUUAUGAAACUACUUUUCCAUUUCAAGACUCUUCUUUCUGUGCUUCUAUUCCAGCUCCUACUUUACUUUAACUUCACACUUUCUUCUGGCCUCCAACCAGUCCUCCCUCACACUCUAUGUCCUUAGCUCCUUCUAUUUCUACAGUCUUUACAGUACCUCCGUCUGUAGUUCCUCUUUCUGUAGCACCUACAUCUGCAGUUUCUCCAAUCCCUAUUUCUACUACUACUAUAGCACCUACUGCAGCACAUGUUCCUCCUAUUCCUAUUUCCUCUAUAUUUGCUACAACUCCAGCACCUCAUACGGUUCCUCCUAUUCUUAUUUCCUAUUUUCUAUUUCCUCUAUCUCUGCUGCAACUCCAGUACCAACUACAGUACCUGUUCCUCCUAUUCAUAUUUCCUCUAUUCCUAUAAAGUUGCUUCUCAGUCUGCCUUCCCGUAAUAAUCAUUCUAUGCUUACCAGAUCUAAGACCAAGUGUGUGUCCACUUGCUUUUUAGUUUCUAUUGAUUCCAUUGAACCAUCUUCUUACAAAAAGGCAGCUCUCUCUUCUCAAUGGCAAGCUGCUAUACUGAAUGAAUUUGCUAUUGGUUCAAAAUGGGUUUACAAAAUUAAGAAGAAUUCAGAUGGUACUAUUGCCAGAUAUAAGGCCCGUUUGGUUGCUAAG